UGUGUGUGUGUAUGUGUGUGUAUGCUUGUGUGAUUGAGAACUCACAUUUGCUGCUGGAUUCUUGGAGAAGAAAGUGUCAUUUAGCCCUGGAGGCAGAAUGGAUUUAACUAGAUCUCCAGUAAAUCUCUCCCUCCCAAAUAAAAUAUUAAAAACUCUCUAAUCUCUAUCUUACCUCAGUUUCUUCAACAUUACACAGUGACACCAUAUUUUGUUAUCAAAAAAUAUCCAUUGAAAUUAUAUUUUCAUUUUGCCAUAAAUAUGAGAAUUUUAUCUAUAUAUAAGCUGUAUUUUAUAUCACAUGAUUUGUUUUUAUUUUCUAUGAUUUUAAACUUUUAAUAAAUCAAUUUUAUUUGAAUAAAAUGUAAGGUUGCUGAAAUUAUUUGCAUAAAUUACUUUAUAUGAAAUGGGGAGGGGCACAAAAUUUUUUUUGUAUAAAGGGAGGUAUGUUCAUAAAGUCUGAAAGCCAAGGAUUCUAUUGGCUUGUACUAAAGAAAUUAUCUUUAGAAACCAAACCUUUCCUUUCCUUUUUAUUCUGCAAGGUACAUGGUACUCCAUUUUUACAUACAGUAAAUUCUUGGUGAAUAUGUCUGAAUUGGGAUUUUGUUUUUAUGGUAAGGAUGAAAAAUUCAGGUCAAGCAAAUAAACUUUUUUCCCUCAUUUACUUACAGAGUUUUCCUUCUUGAUUUAUAUCUUUUGCACGAUCAUUUUAGUUGCUUUUUCAAUAAGGAGCGAGUACUGGAAAAAUAAUCAAACCUCUUGGACUUAAUAUAGCACUUGAGGUUAUAUUUGGUAUUAAAUUUUAAUAGGUUAUUACAAUAACUUAGAAUGUUUCUGUGAUCGCUUACUCAUAUCUGACAGUAGCAGUUAAAUGGCAUUUGAUGAAAGAUGAACAUUAGUUGAUACUUAUUGGAACACACUGUGACAGUUGCUUCAUUGUAAAGAUUGUGGUUUAAAAAAAAAAAAACCGGGCCAUGGGUUGGGACACAAAACACAUGGUUUGUGUUGCAACAAUGUGCUAGAUUGUUUAAUGUGAAGGUCAAAAGGACUGGGAAACCAGAUGGAGAAGGGACAUCUCGGCAUGGACUGAGCAGCUGGACGGCAGAGCUCAGGUUUGUACACUUUAGUCUGUGGCCCAUCCACAGAGGCAACAAGUCACUGGAGCUGACAGAGCUGGCAGCUGGAGGGAUGCUGUGGCUGGACCCCAGGCUGAUGUCCCGCCUGCAAGAUCGGGGAUGCGGGGCAUCCUGGAUGGGGGGCCCCUCAGAUGAGGAAACUGAGACCCAGAAGCCCAGGUAGUGGUGAGAAGGGAUGGUCUGGCUGUGGCUAGACAAGUACAAUGAAAACCAUCUAUGAGCCAAUGCACCCGAAGCUCCACAGGGGCCAACUGUGUGACAUGACAGCCCCAACUUCAAGAAAGGCGCCAGAGGGAGCACACUGCUGGACUCUCCCGUGGCCGGAUCACAUCUGCAGCAGUCUGUCCAGUUCUAGGAGCCUCAUUUCAAAAGCAUAUUGGCAAGCUAGAGUUGUGACCAGGAUGGUGGGGGACUGGAGGCCAUGCUACAGAAUGAAGGAAGUUUAUAUGAAGGUGUUUAGUCCAGCAAAGUGAAGAUAGGUACAUGACAUUAGUGUUCAAAUGGUUAAGCUGCCCUUCAGAAGAGAGAUUAGAUUUGUUCUGCUUGGCCCCAGAAAACAGAUCCUAGGAGGCAGAGAGGUUGAAAUUAGACUUGAUGCAAGGAAAACCUUCCCAAAACACCAGAGGAUCAAAGCAGAACAGGCUGCUUUACCACACCUUUUUCCCACUCUGAGCAAAUCUACUUUGGCUCUUAUAGUAAUGCAGUUGGGAAGUUAUUGAAAUAAAAACAAAAGAUGUGUUAAUUGCUGGAUAUUCACUUGUCAGGAUGUCAGAGAGGGAGAUUCUUGGGCAGACACAGGAAUGGCUUAAUGGUCCCUGAGAGUCUGGACUUUUAUAAUAUUUGUUGUCCUACAGCCAGGAGGUUUAUUGUGAGGGUCAAAUGUGUUAUUGUGGGUGUCACUGAUUUGGUAAAUCUCUUUCUGAAAGACUGCUGGGAACUGUCCCUGCAAUGCUCUGCCCCACCUUCACCUCCACAACUCCUGCCGCUGCCAUUACUACCAUGACUGCUAUGAUGACUAUUACUACCUAUUACUACCAACCACCCCUCCUUCUCCUACUGCAACAACAAUAAUAGCUAGUAUCUGUAUAUUUGGGGCAGCUGGGUGGUAUGGCAGGUAGAGCCUCAAAUCAGAAGGAAGACUUGAAUUCAAAUACAUCCACACAUUCUUCAUGGUGAACCUGGGCAAAUUACUUAACCUGUUUGCCUCCGUUUCCUCAUCUGUGAAAUGGGCAUAAUAAUAGUCCCAACUUCCCUGGGUUAUUUUGAGGAUCAAAUGAGAUAAUCUGAAAGCACUUUAACAGUGCCUGGAAUAUAGUUUGUAUGUUAGCUAUUAUUGUUGUUAUUAUAAAAUUAUUCAAUAUGACAAAAUUGAGUGAUUACAUAUAUGAUAUAUACAUUAUUACAUAAUUACAGUGCAAUAUAUUUUAUUAUACAUGUAACAUAACAAUAUCAUAUGGUUACAUAGCAAUGUACUGUUAUUACGUAUUAGAAAAUGCUUUACAUAUGUAAUCUCAUUUAAUUUUCACAACAAUUUUGAGAGGUAAGGACUAUUAUUAUGCUCAUUUUACAGAUGAGAAAACUGAAGUAGAGUUUAAAUGACUUUUCCAGGGUCACACAGCUAGGAAGUGUUUGAGACUAAGUUUGAACUCAGGUCGAGUUCAACGCUGUAUCACUUAGUUUAUCAGGGCUGCUAUAAGUUUUAUAUAAGAUUUAGUUUCUAAUAAAGGCAAAGAGCUAUCUGAUUUGAAGAAAAGGUCAUUCUUCUCUUAACUUUCUUUAAUGUUGUUAGCCCAACAAGAACUUGAAAACUUAAAGCUAUCCCUGGUGAAAAAUAAGAAUUCUUUUGAGGUGUGUGAGAGAAGGAAGCCUCUUUGCAAGGACCUACUUGAGGAUUUUAAACUGAAAUUGAAGGAAAUUUAUACAAAUAUAUUUUGAUUUUUAAAAAAAAUUAUUAAAAAAAUAAGAAAAAAGAAAAACAGAAAGGAAUACAAAACAAAACAAAACACUAUCAUGUGCUCAGCAGAAUAUUAAGGAGGAUUCAAAACAUGUAACAAUAAAUUACCAGUUCAAGAAAAGAUAUAUAAUAGUAGAAGAAAUUAUAUUCAUGAAUAUCCAUCUUUUCUUUACUUCCUUGUAGGUUCUUUUAUUCUCUGUCCUGUACCUUUUUCAUCUUAUUCUUUUUUCCCCCUUGCAUUUCCCUACCCCUACACUUCCCCCACGCAGACUAUAGUUAAAUAAGGGCAGAUAUAGAUAUAUGGAUACACACACACACACACACACACACACACACACAUCUUUCCUAUCCAGCUAACUCUUUGCUUUAAUUCUACUCUUUAACUUGCUUUGCAGCCUCCUCUCAUUCAUGGAUCCUAGUUUUCUUUCUACACCCUUUGCUUCCCUGUCUAACCAUCCCUCUCCUUAUUUCUUUAUAGAUUUUGUUAAGUUUCUUGAAAUUGAUCUUUGAUGGUGGCUCUUAUAUGUUAAAUUUUCUAUUGAGUUCAGGUUUGGUUGAUAAAAAGUUCUGAAAAUCUGCAAGUUCGUUGAUUGUCCAUUUUUUUCUCCUUCAAUAUUGUAGAUAAUUUUGCUGGAUGUGAUAUUUUUGGUCACAGGCCUAAUUCUUUUGAUUGCCUUAUCAGGGGUCCUCAAACUUUUAAAAUAGGAGGCCAGUUCACUGUCCCUCAGACUGUUGGAGGACCAGACUAUAGUAAAAACAAAAACGUUGUUUUGUGGGCCUUUAAACAAAGAAACUUCAUAGCCCUGGGUGAGGGAGAUAAACGUCCUCAGCUGCCACAUCUGGCCCACAGGCCGUAGUUUGAGGACCUCUGCGAGAUGAUUCCAGGACUUGCAGUCUUUUAUUGUGGCUAUUGAUAAGUUCUGUAUAAUUCUAAUUGUAGCUCCAGUGUAUUUGAAUUGUUUUUGUUUUUUUUUUUUUAUUUCUUACAAAAUUUUCUCUUUGAUCUGGGAGUUUUGAAAUUUGGCACUAAUAUUCCUGUCUGUGGCCAGGAAAAGUUCUGCCCCUCCAAAUGCUAUUUUG